AGGGGUUAUCAUAUGGAUGUGCUGCAGAGCUAGAUCAUGAUAUUGGUUCUUAACUCAUUUCAACUUCACUCCAGAGAUCCAUCAACAAUCCUGCAGUUUGGCACCUAGUUGAUCUGUGGCUUUCUACAUCCAUAAUAAAACAAGAUCUUGGCAGCUAGAGCAGAUAUGGAAAGCCAAGUAGAUCUCUGAAGACGUGUGGGAACAGAUCAGACAUCUCUACAGCCCUUCAAUUCUGGUGAAGGAAGCAUUCUGCUACCCAGCGACGGACACAUGUCAGCACAAUUGAGCGGAAAGUGAGCACCUUGUGAGCAGCCAGAGCGGUGCUGAGCGCAGUCUCGUGAAACGCACUCCUGGCUCCAGUGAAAUUCUGAUCGCUCCACUCCCACUACACUCACGUGCUCUGUGAGAGUUUAUCUGCUGCUGUGAGAAGUUUCUCCUCUUAAAUCACCAUAUAAGCCAAGGUGGGGUUUCUUCCAUCGGUGUCAACUACAUCCAUGAGGUUGAUUGAAUUCAAUAUAUGGCAAGCCUGUCCGAGGUCUGCUACAUUAAGUCUGUAUUGACAGACUCUUCCUGUCUGGCCUGAAGAUUUUCCAUUUUGCUGUGGAGAAACUGAGCUUUUCCUCCUGACUCAACCCCAAAUUAUCAGUUAAGUAUACUAAUAACAUUCAAUACCCAGUUAGUAGGACAAUGUCACAAUCAUUGUGGUUUGUGUGUUGUAUGUGAAGGACCUUGCAAGCCAGAUUGAACUAAUAGUUUAAAUGUUGUAUUUUCACUCUGGAGAUUUUUCACCUCUCCACAAUAUUGUCAGCCAGACAAAUGUGUAGUAAAACAAGAAGAGCGUACACCAUUCAACUACCGGUACUGUGGAACUGUGAUGUCUGUUCCUCAUGUACAUUCAUUGGUGCCAAAGAGAUUGGGAAGAUCAGGGCUUGUAGUCACAUGGGGAAGUUGUGACAUGGGCUAUAUCUUAGUAACUGUAAGGUUUUGAGUCAAAGGUCCAAUUACACAAAUGUUUUUCUGUAGUGGUUUUUAACGUUUGUUUUAACGUCUAGUUCAAACACUUGUUAAAUUAGAAUAAUUUUUGUGAGUUUUACAAACUCAAAAUUACUUUUUACACCCUUAUUUGGGUGAACCAGCUGCCAAUGUGAUUAGACCAGUGCCCCCCUUGCUCAUAUGUGAUUGGAUAUGCAUGCCAAUCAAAAGUUUCUCUCUAUCUCUCUAAUUUGUCUUUCUCUCCCUGUCACCAUCUCAGUUCCUCUUGGUGUAAAUCAAUAUAUGAUGCUGUUGCCACUGGCAAGAUCAGCUGAGCUUCUAAAUAAGACUGCUGUGAAUGUUUUUGAAUGUGUGUGUAUGUUAUGAUGUCGGACUGCUGUCUUGACUGACUUGUGUCAGCAGUUAAAGCCUUCUGUCAAGGACAGCAGUAAUUGACUGGGACAAACGCACACUUCAUUACUCUUUCACACUCUUGAACCAGAGCAUCCGUCUAUGAAUGACAAGGCUUUUAAUUUCAAAUUCAGACACUCGUGUUUUGGCAUUUUCUUGUCCGAGGCCAACCGUCAUUCUGAAACUGACAGGCCCUCGGGCCGGCUUAGACUUUUUGACAAACUGGAUGUUUAAUUUGCCUGACAUUUAUAAGACAAACUGUGUGGACUGUUUGAGAGCUUAACUAAGUUGAAUACCAAAUGAGACAUCUCUCUCUCUUUCUCGUUCUUUUCAUCUGCUAAAUGAACUGUUAUAAGCUGCACAAAAAUAAAUGUGUUCAAAUAAAUGUUCUCUUCCAUUAUCACACGUCAUGUAAUUAGUUUUACAUUGUUCGGCCUUGAUUCCUAAAGCCUUUUGUUUGGAAUCAGUGUGAAAUGAAACCACAGGGUGGUGAAAUCUGUCGGGGAUUGUUUUCUAUUUGAAAUUUUCAUUAAAAACAGACUUCUUGCAAAGAAAAAAAAGGCUUAUAUCUGUUCACUCUUGUUUCAUUUUAUUUAUUAUUUUUUUGGAUAAUAGGGACCCAACCGCUCAAAAUAGUUUUUUUUUUUAAAUGCAUUUUUACUUUGCACCUGCAGAGAGCACUGCAGGCUUAAAAGAGUCCCAAACUAUUCAUUCCUUACCUGUGCCAUUUCAUCAUCAUCUCUCCUCUCCUCCACUUUCAAUUCUUCUAUCUUCCUUUCUCAUUAACUACUCUUUCUCUGCAAUUUAUUCAGCUCAGUAAGCCUUAUUGCAGUUUCUGAAUGACCCUUAUGUCUUUCAUUUAGCUCUCUCUCAUACCCUCUUUCUUCCCUUCCUUUCUUUUCUCUGUCAUUUAAACUUUACACUGUUUCUUCUGCAUUGUUUCUACUUUCAAAGAAACCAUCUGUCAUUCUCUUUACCUCUCUUUUUAUACCCCAUUUUCCCUUGUUCUUUCUUUGUCUCUCAUAUCUGACCUCCAUGACUUCUCUCUAGUCAGCUUUUUGGUGUACUCCUCUAUCGGUUUUACGUAAGAGGGAAACCCCACUAUUGAUGCGAAAUUCUCUGCAGGUUGCGAUGCGAAGUCAGAGAAACAAAAACAGCUACAAUAUCAUUCUCCAAUUUGAUUUAACAUUUUUUUUUACUGUUUGGCAAAGUUGUUUUCCUGCUAUACUGGUUAAAUAUGUUUUCUGGUAGGGUGGUUGAAGCUGAUAUUGUUUGUCAUGCUUUAAUGAAUCGAACAUUACUUAUGUGUAUCGAUCUCGAUGUUUGUUUUGUUUUUUUCAGUGAAGUUACUGUUACAACUGUACAAUUAUUCAUGACUUCUGAGUAUUUUAUAACGUUACUGCAGUUUCGAGAUUACUAAAUUGUGUGACUCUAAAUGUUUGUGCCACUGUUUUCUUAUUUCUUAAUCUUAAGCUAUUUUUUUUUCUUUUUUUACCUCAGCCACAGAAAUGCACAAGCUGUUGUUACUUUACUGUCCUUGUAGCAGAAAAAUGAAAAAUGCAAGCAAGUGUAAGCCAAUAUGGAGCAAUAAAUCUGUGUACGGAUACUUGCCAUUUUAUCCUUGUAGCAGAUGUUUAUACAGAUCAAAAAAGCCAUUAUAGGUACAAGGUUCCCCAUGAAUUUAUGCUCAUAAGUUGUCUAUAAUGUACCGAUUUCAUAGCAUGUUAAUUUAUUAUUAAUUUGUUUAGCAUGUAACCAUCUCCGUGUUGUAACUUCCAAAUAAACUAUAAAAAUGUAUUAUGGUAAUUAGUUAAUGUAAUACAACAUGUAAAACUGUGAACAACGUUAAAUAAAUAACAAAAUAAUUGUCUCCUUUAUUUUCCACAUUUUUAAACUGGUUAUUACUUUUUAUUGAAUGUCAGAAGAUGUGUGUAGUGACUAGUGACAUCAAUCAUCA